AUGUUUCUAUUGUAAUUAGCAAAUCUAUUUUCCAAAUAGAAAGUCGGUAAACCGGUAACAUA
rnacentral:tRNA from 1 species